rnacentral:lncRNA from 1 species
UAAUAUACAAAUUGUAAAGUUAUGUUUACACUCUAUAUCACCUUUCUAAUUCCGAAAACGAAAAUAUGAAUACUAAGUCAAAGUUUGUUGUGUUAAACUAUUAACAAAAGAGGAAUAUGUAAUGGCAUAUGCUUAAACCAAACGAAGUUGAUAAAAAAAAAAAAAAAAGGUUUGUAAAUUCUUAACAAGCACUGUAAGAUAUAAUCAGGUUGAAGUUUAUAUAAUUAGAUGAAACAAAACAAAAUAUUGAAAUGCAAAGAUUAAAAAGAUAGUAAACACGGGACCAGAGAUUAAGAUUAGGGGAGAUUAUGUCGACGAAAGAGACAAAACUUAAAUCCAGACGAUAACGUUUGUGCCUUUGUGGAGUGCAAGCAAAACAAGGCCUUGGCUUGCCUCUAUUGAGCAGAUUACAUCUGUUUCGUUUUCUCCCCUUUUUUAUUUUUUUUUCUUUAAUUGUUUCCUCCUUUUUUUUGUUUGCCUUUGUGCCAAAAAUAAAUAAAUAAUAAUAAUAAUAAUUGAAUAAACUGAUUUUAUAAUAAUACAAAGGAAGGCUCACAAGUCACAAAUAUGCAGACAAGUUUAUGGUUUAGAUCUUGCGAAAUCAUUACAAAAUAUCGAAAAGAGAUUUUGCAUAUAUUACCAGUAAAGACGAAAGAGAUAAAGAAAUGCAAAAUAGAAUAAUUUUAUCAGAGAACAACAACAUAUACAGAUCUCUAUCUUUUUUUUUUACUAUCACUAUUGGUAUAAUCGUUUACUCAAAACGUACACAUAACACAUGUAUCAUGUAUGUAUACUUAAAUAGUGAAUUGUGUGACCUUUAUUUGCAAUCAUUUUUUCAAAAUAUAAUUAGGGAAUUUACUCAAGAGCUGAGUCCAAGAAAAAUAAACAAAGUUUCUCGAAUUAUAGAGGAAUUAUGAGGCGACAAGACACAUGGAGAAAAAAAUGAAGAAGCAAUAAUACAGAGAGGAACUAUAGAGCAACAAAACACAACACUGCUUUACAACUCUCCCUAUUCUUAGUGUUGCCAAAACCAUCAUAAUAGAGAUACAACUCAACAAGGUCCUCUUGAUUUAAAUCGCCAAUUAUAAUAAUACAUACAUACAUACAUUAUCAAGGCUUACUUUUUUGUUGUAAUUAUUUUUUCUUCAAUAAAGAAAAAAAAAAAGAAAAAAAGACAGAUCAAAACUAUUUCAAGGACCGAAGUGAUUGUCCCUACAAAAGCAUUUUGUAAUAUGGAAAAGAUAUGGUCAGAGAAGCACAAAAGGAAGGAAGGAAGGAGUCAUGGAAUUGGAUAAGCUCUUUAUGGGUCCCAAAUUCCUCAAUUUCAUUUUCUAGAGAUUAGAGAGAGAGAGANNNNNNNNNNNNNNNNNNNNNNNNNNNNNNNNNNNNNNNNNNNNNNNNNNNNNNNNNNNNNNNNNNNNNNNNNNNNNNNNNNNNNNNNNNNNNNNNNNNNAGAGAGAGAGAGAGAGAAAGAGAAGUUUCCAAAAACAACAAUUAUCUCUCUAAAUAUUAUAAUAUUCCCUAGUCCCCCCACUCACUAACUCAGUACCAUCAAACUAUAUAUAAUCACCACUUUGAAUCACCCAAGGCAACAAACCAAACCAAAACCACCAUAAGCUAACAAACAAACAAACACAGAACAGAGAGAGAUGUUUUCAGAUCACUUACCUUCUUCAUCUCAAGUCUUCCAAGAACACUUCAUCUCCAGAAAAUUGCUUCAGCAGUUUCAUCACACCACUACUCAACAAGCUCAUGUACCUGAUAGGAACAACUUGAGCGGCAACGUUCUCCUGCUGCUCUCUAUCCUUUUAUGUGGUAUCAUCUGCUCUCUCGGGUUGCAUUACAUCAUUCGCUGUGCAUUCAGACGCUCUCGAAGUUUCAUGAUCUCUGAUCCCAUCUCUAGCCCCUCCACACCACGAGGUUCAGAGGAAGUAAGCAAAGGGAUCAAGAAGAAGGCUCUCAAGAUGUUCCCAGUAGUCAAUUACUCACCAGAGAUUAACCUCUCAGGGCUCGGCGAGGAGUGUGUCAUCUGUUUGUCUGAUUUUGCUGCCGGAGAACAGCUACGUCUGCUUCCCAAGUGCAA